rnacentral:rRNA from 1 species
GAUGAACGCUGGCGGCGUGCCUAACACAUGCAAGUCGAGCGAUUCUCUUCGGAGAAGAGCGGCGGACGGGUGAGUAACGCGUGGGUAACCUGCCCUGUACACACGGAUAACAUACCGAAAGGUAUGCUAAUACGAGAUAAUAUACUCUUAUCGCAUGGUAGAAGUAUCAAAGCUCCGGCGGUACAGGAUAGACCCGCGUCUGAUUAGCUAGUUGGUAAGGUAACGGCUUACCAAGGCGACGAUCAGUAGCCGACCUGAGAGGGUGAUCGGCCACAUUGGAACUGAGACACGGUCCAAACUCCUACGGGAGGCAGCAGUGGGGAAUAUUGCACAAUGGGCGAAAGCCUGAUGCAGCAACGCCGCGUGAGCGAUGAAGGCCUUGGGUCGUAAAGCUCUGUCCUCAAGGAAGAUAAUGACGGUACUUGAGGAGGAAGCCCCGGCGUAACUACGUGCCAGCAGCCGCGGUAAUGAGUAGUAA